CGUGCAGGAUGAAGGCUUCGGUCGUAACUGCUUUUAUGUGUGAAGAUUAUGACGGUAACACAUGAAUAAGGGUCGGCUAACUACGUGC
rnacentral:rRNA from 1 species